CCUACGGGUGGCAGCAGUGAGGAAUAUUGGUCAAUGGGCGCGAGCCUGAACCAGCCAAGUAGCGUGAAGGAUGACUGCCCUACGGGUUGUAAACCUCUGUUAUAAAGGAAUAAAGUGAGUCACGUGUGCCGUUUUGUAUGUACUUUAUGAAUAAGGAUCGGCUAACUCCGUGCCAGCAGCCGCGGUAAUACGGAGGAUCCGAGCGUUAUCCGGAUUUAUUGGGUUUAAAGGGAGCGUAGAUGGGUUGUUAAGUCAGUUGUGAAAGUUUGCGGCUCAACCGUAAAAUUGCAAUUGAUACUGGCAGUCUUGAGUACAGUUGAGGUAGGCGGAAUUCGUGGUGUAGCGGUGAAAUGCGUAGAUAUCACGAAGAACUCCGAUUGCGAAGGCAGCUUACUAAACAGCAACUGACAUUGAUGCUCGAAAGUGUGGGUAUCAAACAGGAUUAGAUACCCUUGUAGUC
rnacentral:rRNA from 1 species